GACACUUUCCGCAUAUAAUAUGUUCUAAUUUUUUUUUUUUUUUUUUCUACGUACACUACUCGCUAUAAUAAUAUACAAUGAUAACCUACUACUUAUUGCUAUAUUUAUUCAAACAGUAAUGAUAAUAGUUUUGCGAAUAAUAAAAAAAAAAAAAAAACAACCGAGAACACGUCUCCGUUAUAUGCAAAAUAUAAUAAUAAUUAUCAUGUUAUUGUCAAGCAAAUGUAAACCUACAUGUAAAAUAGUUUUAAUAAUAAUAAUAAUAAUAAUAAUAAUAAUAAUAAUAAGUAUAUAAAAUAAAUGCGUAUAAGCAUCGUAUCGAAAUAGUAGUUUAGCGAGAGAAAAAAAAAAAAUUUGAAUAAUAUUUAAUAAUAAUAAUAAUAAUAAUAAUAAUAAUAAUAAUUUGAAAAUAAACAAUAUAUAAUGAUAUAAUUUCAUUUAAUA